AUUUGGUGAGUUUUAAGCGAAAUCCAAUGGCUAAAAUUAUGUAAAACACCAACCUCUCCAUCUCAGAAUGAACAUCGUACAAACCUGAAUUGUCCAAUUUGAUGGACCAAUUGAUAUCGGAUUGAGUCCAAAACUUAGGGAACAUCAUAAUAUUGUGGGAGGAAUCAUUUGGUGAGUUUUGAGUGAAAUCCAGUUGCCAAAACUAUGCAAUACACCAACCACUCCAUUAGAGAACGAACUUCAUACGAAC
rnacentral:lncRNA from 1 species